UUUGGUGAUUGGCUCAGCUGCCACUCUGGGGGGAACCUUCAGCCCUGAGCCUAAGAACCUUCCUGUUUGUCUGCAUAUGAUAUUACGAGUAAUUUUGCUUUUCUGCUUUUUUCCCUCCCUGGAGGAAAAAGAAAAGAUUUGCCUUUUUUUUUUUGAAGCUAGACAUGGAGGAUUUAAACACACAUACAGACGCCCUGAGUUAUUAAAGUUCCACAAGACAUGGCUUUGGUUUAUUCCAGAAAUCAGUUUUUAGGACCACUCUCUUGGUGCCUCUCCUCGCUGUUCUCCACUAGACCGUAACUCAAGAGCUGAAUCAAGCUCUGUUCAGCGGGUGUUUGGGAAAGAAACAGUGUCUGGAUGCUGGUCAGCUGGCUUGGGUUGUCAGCAGGCCAGCUUAGCACAUGUUUUUCUCCAGACGGGAGCCUCUGUAGGCCGAGGGGUGUUCAUCUGUCCCGUUUGAGCUCAGGAUAACAAGACCUCUGGUGCAGCUCCACGGUGGUAAACACCAAGGGCAGAGGUGUGAGAAAUGCUCAGUACCCCAGCAGCAGGCAACCCCCUGCUCCCGUGCCCUGCACAACCCAUCAGGCGGGCAAGCCAGAAGGAGAGCACCAAGAACUGUUGUUUCUGACUCACAGAUGUGAUAACUCCUACUGUCUCCUGGCCACAGUUGAUUAGUUUGGACACAUGUUGGCAGGAAGCCAUGGGUCAUUUUGCCUGCUGAAAUGACAGGGUAACUGAGAAGGGUGGCCUGGGAAGUCAGCCUGUCUGGCAUUCCCCUCCGUUUUUUGCAUUAGUGCAGAGCUGUCUGAAAGAUGGUUUGUUUGGUUUCUGCAGUUUGCUCAUGGGGCAAGACCCCUUUUGGUUUCUCUCACACCUGGUUUGAGCUGGGUUCUCUCCUGUGGGUGGGGUUCGCUAUAUAAGGAGGGCCUAGGAGAAUAGUAAUGCGCUUGAGCACUCCCAGCCUAUUCUGACCACAUCUCUCUCCAGCACUGCUCUUCCAGAGCUCUCCAGAGUGUCUCAGGUCAAGAGAAGACAGGUGGCCCUGUCUCUGCAUUAGCCCAUCACAGGCCCACUUGCUCAGUAUUCUUUGCUGUCACUCUCAGAUCAAUAUCUUGUUGCCAUUAUAGGGUUAGUGUGGGACAGCUGCCUGCUAAUUAAGCUCAUGUGGAUUAUCCCUUUAUUAUGUCUGCCAGUUUAGUACAUCAAUUUCAAAUCAAAUAUGAAGUGUUAAAUUACUAUUAGACUAACAGCUGAUGUGUUUUCUGUUGUGUGAUUUUCAUAGUAAUUGAUGCAUUUGGCCUAGUGACUUCAAUUGG
rnacentral:lncRNA from 1 species